rnacentral:rRNA from 1 species
CCCAGACUCCUACGGGAGGCAGCAGUGGGGAAUAUUGGGCAAUGGGCGCAAGCCUGACCCAGCAACGCCGCGUGAAGGAAGAAGGCUUUCGGGUUGUAAACUUCUUUUGACAGGGAAGAGCAGAAGACGGUACCUGUCGAAUAAGCCACGGCUAACUACGUGCCAGCAGCCGCGGUAAUACGUAGGUGGCAAGCGUUGUCCGGAUUUACUGGGUGUAAAGGGCGUGUAGCCGGGCUGACAAGUCAGAUGUGAAAUCCGGUGGCUCAACCCCCGAACUGCAUUUGAAACUGUUGGUCUUGAGUAUCGGAGAGGCAGGCGGAAUUCCUAGUGUAGCGGUGAAAUGCGUAGAUAUCAGGAGGAGCACCGGUGGCGAAGGCGGCCUGCUGGACUGCAACUGACGUUGAGGCCCGAAAGCGUGGGGAGCAAACAGGAUUAGAUACCCUUGUAUCC